GCUUGCGGCCACACUGGCCUGAGUACGCCUGAUCUCGUCCGAUCUCGGAAGCUAAGCAGGGUCGGGCCUGGUUAGUACUUGGAUGGGAGACCCCCUGGGAAUACCAGGUGCUGUAAGCU
ensembl:rRNA 5S_rRNA 5S ribosomal RNA